rnacentral:rRNA from 1 species
GCGGGGUAAUGGCCCACCAAGGCGACGAUCGGUAGCUGGUCUGAGAGGAUGAUCAGACACACUGGAACUGAGACACGGUCCAGACUCCUACGGGAGGCAGCAGUGGGGAAUAUUGGACAAUUGGGCGCAAGCCUGAUCCAGCCAUACCGCGUGGGUGAAGAAGGCCUUCGGGUUGUAAAGCCCUUUUGUUGGGAAAGAAAUCCUAUCGGUUAAUAACCGGUGGGGAUGACGGUACCCAAAGAAUAAGCACCGGCUAACUUCGUGCCAGCAGCCGCCGGUAAUACGAAGGGUGCAAGCGUUACUCGGAAUUACUGGGCGUAAAGCGUGCGUAGGUGGUGGUUUAAGUCCGAUGUGAAAGCCCUGGGCUCAAUCCUGGGAAUUGCAGUGGAUACUGGAUCACUAGAGUUUGGUAGAGGGAUGCGGAAUUUCUGGGUGUAGCAGUGAAAUGCGUAGAGAUCAG